GUCCAGACUCCUACGGGAGGCAGCAGUGGGGAAUAUUGCACAAUGGGGGAAACCCUGAUGCAGCGACGCCGCGUGAGCGAUGAAGUAUUUCGGUAUGUAAAGCUCUAUCAGCAGGGAAGAAAAUGACGGUACCUGACUAAGAAGCCCCGGCUAACUACGUGCCAGCAGCCGCGGUAAUACGUAGGGGGCAAGCGUUAUCCGGAUUUACUGGGUGUAAAGGGAGCGUAGACGGCUGUGCAAGCCAGAUGUGAAAGCCCGGGGCUCAACCCCGGGACUGCAUUUGGAACUGUGUAGCUGGAGUGUCGGAGAGGCAGGCGGAAUUCCUAGUGUAGCGGUGAAAUGCGUAGAUAUUAGGAGGAACACCAGUGGCGAAGGCGGCCUGCUGGACGAUGACUGACGUUGAGGCUCGAAAGCGUGGGGAGCAAACAGGAUUAGAUACCCGUGUACC
rnacentral:rRNA from 1 species